GAACGAAACGGCAAACUCCGAGCAAUCGGAGGGCGCAAAGCCAUGGAUCCCAAAGGGACCGCCAGGCUACCGAAU
rnacentral:ncRNA from 1 species